GCUUAUAUAUUUUAAUUACUUUAUAAAAAAAUAUAUAAGGUUUAUCAGUUAGUAUCAGUUUUAAGUUAUAAAAUUUAAGUGGUAUUAUAUUUUUAACAUAAUUUUCCCCAAAUCUAUUAAAAUACACUCUUAAAUUAAAUCUAGUCUAUAAAUAAUCUAUGAGAUUGAAUAACACUGAAUUCCAACUAGCAUUCAUAAAUGUGAGUUAAAUAAUGAUUUCAAAACUACUAAUCUAAUAUUUUAUUUGGAUUUUUAAAUCCACUAAAAUCUAAUAAGUAAUUUACAUGAUAGAGAUUUUUUCACUCAAAAUAAUUAGUAUUUCCUCUACUUUUACGUUUUAAUUUCACUCAACUUUUAUCCAACAAUUAAUAUUUUACUGUCUUUUAUCCAACAAAAAAAAGAUAUAGAUGUAAAUUCUUAAUUCUAUGCAUAUUUAAAUGCAAUGGAGGUAAGACAUAAAAUGUGGGAAGAGCUAAAUUUAGAUGUGACAAAAAGAGGAUCUGAGUGUGUGCCAUUAGGAUCCCUCAUCUCUUGCAAAACGUAGACCUCACAAACCGUGUAGUUGCUUUUAAUACCACAAGUAAAAUAUAUUUAAAAAUUCUUUUCAGAUUAUAAAACUCAAAAGUAUUUAGAUUAGAAUUAUAUUUGCUGCUUAAAAUGUUUAAUCAUGUACAAUUAAUCAUGUCUGUAUAUGGUAAUGAAAAAAUGCCGACUUGGGAUAACAAGCCGAGCCCUGGGAAAGGAGACGAGAACUCUUGAUGAUAUCUGCAAUUUCAUGCUCAUGUCUUGCACAUCAUUCUUGAUAGAUUUGCUGAUUAAUGGUACCAAAAGACUGAGACUGAUCAUGCAAGGACAAUGGAGAAGAGGCUCCUGAGAGUAUGAAAGGUGCAAAGAAGAAGACCACCUCAAAGGAUUGUACUUCUCCUUACUUUGUGAUAUGUCAAGAUUGAUUUUCAGGAUGGAGAAGAGGCUUCUGAAAGUGUGGAAGGUGCAGAGAAGAAGAAAACCUCAAACAUUAGGUUGGUCAUGGCAAGGAUGUACACCAACUAUUGUAACCAUAAAAUCUGUUUCCCGUACUCCAAGAAAAAGACCCCAAAAUAACAUCUUGUGCUUUUGUUAUGUUCCUAUAACUUUAGAAACCAGAAACACUAGCAAUGUGUUUCUUCAUAGCUCUAUCUUUAUGGUUAUGA